rnacentral:rRNA from 1 species
GUGUCCCUACGGGACGCAGCAGUGGGGAAUAUUGGGCAAUGGGCGCAAGCCUGACCCAGCAACGCCGCGUGAAGGAAGAAGGCUUUCGGGUUGUAAACUUCUUUUCUCAGGGACGAAGCAAGUGACGGUACCUGAGGAAUAAGCCACGGCUAACUACGUGCCAGCAGCCGCGGUAAUACGUAGGUGGCAAGCGUUAUCCGGAUUUACUGGGUGUAAAGGGCGUGUAGGCGGGGACGCAAGUCAGAUGUGAAAAC